ACCAAUUCUGGGGGAGAACAAGUUCCUCCUGGUAUAAUGGCUCGGGCGCUAUAUUUAGGUUCUUGUGGUCAUCCUGAUCUAUGGCUUCUCCAUCCGUGCCAUUUGAUCCUGGAAACGCCACAUACAUCU